rnacentral:ribozyme from 15 species
ACGAGAAUAUAUAUUACACGGCAACAUAAAUUAAUUUGUAUAUUUAUAAGACUCAAGAUUUAACUUUCUUUCCUUUUUUCCCUUUCCUUCUCUUUGCUUUCUUCUCA